rnacentral:misc_RNA from 1 species
UAUGGCAGGAUGUCGGCUGUGAGUAAAAUGCUAAAAAUUCAAAGCCAUGAAAUGGGCAGUGACUGUCAGUGUUUGCGUGGCUGUUUCAGACGAGUAAAUGAGACAUCUCGGAAUAAGAUUCUCUCCGACUUUAAUCUUAUGAGGUCACAUGAUGAACAAAAUAGCUAUUUAUGUGGGUUAAUAACUGUCAUACCUGUUCAGCGUAGAAGGCCUAGAGUAGAAAAUGCUAGAGAAAAUCAAGCAUCUUAUGCCUAUAAAGUACGAGUAUUGAAAGAUAACAUGUUAGUAGAAGAAAGCAUUUGUCGUAAGGCAUUCAUUUCUAUUCACGGAAUUUCCAAAGCCAAAGUUGAGUUCUUGGUUAAGAGUCUUAAAUCUGCUGGCACAUCACCAAAGGACAAACGUGGUAAACAUUUAAAUAGGCCACAUAGAGUAUCUAAUGAAACUGUAGAUCUUAUACGUGAUCACAUACAAUCAUUUAAAGGAAGAUCAUCGCACUAUAGCCUCCACAAAAGUAACAAAACCUACCUACCUGAAGAAUUGAAUGUUUCGAAAAUGCAUCAAAUGUUUCAGACAAAAUAUCCAAAUGCAAAGGUAUCAUAUGAAACAUAUAGACAAUGUUUUUGCAGUGACUUUAACAUCAGUUUUGGCUACCCCAGAACUGACACUUGCAGUAAGUGCGAUGAACUAACGGCCAAAAUUACAGGGCUACAGAAACAAUUAAAAAAUAACAGAGAAUCCGAUGAUGUUGCUAACAUUAAUAAGGAAAUAACUUCUCUUGAAAAUGAAGCAAAACUCCACAAAAUCAAAGCAGAUGUGUUCUACAAAAGGAAAACACGUGCCAAACAAUUAUGUAAGCAAUCAGUGGAACAUGAGGCCAUAAGUAUGGACUUUGGUAAGAAUUUACAAUUGCCGAAUAUUACCACUAAUGACAUCUACUACAAGCGGCAGUUAUCAAUGUAUGCUUUUAACAUACAUGAGUUGUCUAGUGCGAAAAGUAUUUUUUACCUAUAUCCUGAGACUGAAGGAAAGAAAGGGAGUGAUGAUGUUUCUUCUUUCCUACACAAUUUUGUCUAUGAACAUCUGGAUGAAAAAAAUUAGACACCUUCACAUAUUCUGUGACUCUUGCUCGGGCCAGAACAAAAACUUCACAAUGAUAAGAUUUUUACAUUAUCUUGUUUAUGAAGCAAAGAAACUUGACUCCAUCAAAGUAACAUUCCCUGUGCGUGGCCAUUCAUACAUGGAAUGCGACAAGAAUAUGGGGCUUGUCAACACAAAAUCUAAGGCAGAACUUCCUUCAGAUUGGAUUGAAGUUUUUGAAAAUGCUAGAAAGAACCCUUUUCCCUUUAAAGUUGUGAGUAUUGACAAUCAAUUCUGUAGACAGUGGACAAAAUUCUUGGACACAUUAUAUAUGAAAAAAUGCCCAUUUGCUACCAGGACUAUAAAGGAGCUUAAAAUUUCCAAGGAAGGCAAUGGUAAUGAACAAAAAUUGAUGCUGAGGAGUUCUUACUAUGCAGCGUGGGACAAAUGUUCAAUCCUGCCAAAGAAAAAAAACCCAUUCUUCAACAGUAUGUGCUGAAAAUGAAUUUCUAAUGCCAGAAAAAUCUUAUGAUGGUCCACUGCCUAUCAAGAAGGCCAAAUACAAUGACUUGAAAGAUUUAAAGAUAUUUUGUAGUAGUGCUGCCCAAGAAUACUUCACCAAUCUUCCCCAUUUGGAUGAAUAAAAUUAGGGUCUUAAAUGAAGCAAUCCAAAUUAAAUUAUAUUUUCAAUGUGCUAAGUUUUAUAUGUAAAAUAAAUAUCUGUAUUAUUUUGGA